AUACGGAGGAUCCGAGCGUUAUCCGGAUUUAUUGGGUUUAAAGGGUGCGCAGGCGGCCAUUUAGGUCAGCGGUUAAAUCGUGGGGCUCAACCCCAUUCUGCCGUUGAUACUGGGUGGCUUGAUUGCGGUCGAGGUUGGCGGAAUUCGUUGUGUAGCGGUGAAAUGCAUAGAUAUGACGAAGAACACCGAUUGCGUAGGCAGCUGACCAGACCGCAAAUGACGCUCAUGCACGAAAGUGCGGGGAUCGAACAGGAUUAGAUACCCUGGUAGUCCGCACAGUAAACGAUGAAUACUUGUUUUCGGCGAUAUAAUGUCGGAGGCAAAGCGAAAGCGAUAAGUAUUCCACCUGGGGAGUACGCCGGCAACGGUGAAACUCAAAGGAAUUGACGGGG
rnacentral:rRNA from 1 species